rnacentral:rRNA from 1 species
CUACGGGGCGCUCCAGUGGGGAAUAUUGCACAAUGGGGGGAACCCUGAUGCAGCAACGCCGCGUGGAGGAUGACGCAUUUCGGUGUGUAAACUCCUUUUAUAUGUCAAGAAAAUGACGGUAGCAUAUGAAUAAGCACCGGCUAACUCCGUGCCAGCAGCCGCGGUAAUACGGAGGGUGCAAGCGUUACUCGGAAUCACUGGGCGUAAAGGACGCGUAGGCGGGUUGGAAAGUCAGGUGUGAAAUCCUACAGCUUAACUGUAGAACUGCACUUGAAACUUCUAAUCUAGAGUAUGGGAGGGGGAGAUGGAAUUAGUGGUGUAGGGGUAAAAUCCGUAGAUAUCACUAGGAAUACCUAAAGCGAAGGCGAUCUCCUGGAACAUUACUGACGCUAAGGCGUGAAAGCGUGGGGAGCAAACAGGAUUAGAUACCCGCGUAGUC